AAAUAGCCUCCACGAAAGAAGGGAUGAUUCCCUCAUUUUAGAACUACACUUCCAAAGACUAACAAAUUAAUUUUAAGUGAUCCGAUACCCGUAUUCGAUCAACGAACCAAGUUACCCUGGGGAUAACAGCGCANUCUACCUCAAGAGCCCCUAUCGACAGGUGGGUUUACGACCUCGAUGUUGGAUCAGGGUAUCCCAGUGGUGCAGCANCUACCAAAGGUUCGUUUGUUCAACGAUUAAAACCCU
rnacentral:rRNA from 1 species